ACUGGUGUAACAAGACCCUGUGUGCUUGGAACUGGGCUUAUCUUGAAUGCUUUAUCCAAAGAAAUCUUUGUGUUUACCACAGAGACCUUCACUACCCUAUCAGUAGUAGGUUUAUUUAUCUAUGGAGUUAAAAAAAUAAGGUCCUUCCAUUGCAGAAUUUGCUGAUAAACUCAAUGAGCAAAAACUUGCCCAACUAGAAAAGGCGAAGCAGGCUUUCAUCAAAGAAAUCUAGGAUGCAGUUGAUUUGUAGAAGGCACAGCAGGCACUGGUUCAGAAGCACCAUUAUCUUUUUGAUGUGCAGAGGAAUAACACUGCCAUAGCUUUGGAGGUUACUUACUGGGAACGACUGCAUAGAGUAUAUAAAAAACUAAAGAAUCGCUUGGACUAUCAUCUAUCUGUGCAGAACAUGAUGCGUCGAAAGGAACAAGAGCACGUGAUAAAUUGGGUGGAGAAGCAUGUGGUGCAGAGCAUCUCUGUACAACAGGAAAAGGAGACAAUUGCCAAGUGCAUUGCUGACCUAAAGUCUGGCAAAGAAGGCUCAAGCAUAGCCAGUUAUGUAAAUGUACCUGUUCCAAUUGAGACAGCUAGAAACAGUUGACUGACUAAAUGGAAACUUGUCUAUUUGACAAAAUCUUUCUGUAUUUGUGUCUACUGAAGUUACGGUUUACCUCUCCUAAAAAUGAAAAGUUUGUUUUAAAUAGCGAGAGAACGAAAUCUCUGUUGGCCAGUCAGAUAGUUCUUAUCCUUCUUACUCUGCAUUUGAGUUGUUCAAUGAUCACUUCUGUAUAAGCAGUUUGCCUCUAUAAAAACUUGCUGCCUGACUAAAGAUUACCAGGUUAUAGUUUAAAUUUGUAAUUAAUUCUACCAUCUUGCAAUAAAGUGACAAUGGAA